GAACUUUGAGUUCAUUUUCAACUGCCAUUAAUAGAAAGGGAAUCAUUUUCAACUGUUGGGAACCAAAGAAAACAAAACCAGAAAAACAAACUUUAAUCAACCAACCAUACAUAUUUGGUAUUAUCCAUCAACCCCCCUUCCAAUUAAAAAUCAAUAGUCAUAAAAAUCAAUGUCUAGCUAGACAGCCGCCAGUACAUCAUUUGUGAAUACAAUGACAAUCGUAUAUUAGAAAAUAUUGACAUAAAAAAUGUGUGUAUUUUCCCCUAUUCUUUCUCAUUUCAGGUCAGCAGGUUCUUGAUUACUCUAUGCAUGACCAUGAUAAUUGAUGAAUCUUUAGCUCCUUCACCUCCUUUAUGUGCCGUUAAAAAUGUUAAUAAUUCAUAAAAAGAAAUAAGGGAUAAAAUAUCCAGUACCAAGAUAUAGUAUAAUGCUUCCCAUUUCUUUCAUAAUCAAAAUACACGGAUAUAAUAAAUAAAUGCCUGGCUCCAUCCUGUCUGCCUUCUAACCACCUAAUGAGAAGAAAAAAAUGAGAGAUUUUCACGUAGAGACAGACAUCUACGACCUACGUUGUCCUCCACCCAAAUAUGACCUUGUAUUUAGAAAUGAAAAUAGUACCUCUUUCUUGACAAACAAAAGGGCAGAUUCGUCAUUCCAUAUCGCCAUCUUCCUCGUCGAGAAAAACGAUCGAGUCCCCAUUUCAGCUCACAGUGCCCUUUGCGCAAUAUAAUGCCCCCUUUAAAUUAAGCUUUUUUGGACAAGUUGACUCGAUACAUAUAGUUACGAACAAGACAGAUAUUCUAAAAGUGAUGAAAUAAAAUUCAAAGAAGAGAAGAAAAUUGGAGAUGAUAAAGAGAGAGGUCUUUUUCAGCUUUCUGCAUUAUUCACCACUAUUACUCCUACUAAAGGUCUAGAGAGAGCAGAGUGUUUGUUUGAAUGGUUUUGCAGAAGAAAUGUGAAAAGGACCAUUGCCAGAGGGUUAAGGGGUGGGGUAUUGGGAUCUGAGAAUUUGGAAGAUUAUGUGUUUUGGCCUUUGGAAUUUUGGUAGGCCGGUGAAAGGCCAUUUUCAACUUUCUCUUUCUUCCUUCUUCUAGCAGUAAGUGUUUGGCAUUUGUAUUCUGCCUUUACCUUUUCCCCUUUUAAUUCAUCAAUCGAUGGGUUUUUAUACUCCCUAUGUUUCUGAACCUAUUUUAUUUUUAGCUUAAAAUUAUAAUUUUGCUAUUAA
rnacentral:lncRNA from 1 species